rnacentral:rRNA from 1 species
AGUCGAACGCAGUAGCAAUACUGAGUGGCAAACGGGUGAGUAUAAUGUGGGAAUCUGCCUUUUGGUUCGGAAUAACACGAGGAAACUUGUGCUAAUACCGGAUAAGCCCUAACGGGGAAAGUUUUAAUGCCAAAAGAUGAGCCCGCACUUGAUUAGCUAGUUGGUAAGGUAAAAGCUUACCAAGGCGACAAUCAAUAGCUGAUUUGAGAGGAUGAUCAGCCACACUGGGACUGAGAUACGGCCCAAACUCC